rnacentral:rRNA from 1 species
GACGAACGCUGGCGGCGUGCCUAAUACAUGCAAGUCGAGCGGACUUUCAAGAAGCUUGCUUUUUGAAAGUUAGCGGCGGACGGGUGAGUAACACGUGGGCAACCUGCCUGCAAGACGGGGAUAACUCCGGGAAACCGGGGCUAAUACCGGAUAAUAUCUUCCUUCGCAUGAAGGAAGGUUGAAAGGCGGCGCAAGCUGCCGCUUGCAGAUGGGCCCGCGGCGCAUUAGCUAGUUGGUGAGGUAACGGCUCACCAAGGCGACGAUGCGUAGCCGACCUGAGAGGGUGAUCGGCCACACUGGGACUGAGACACGGCCCAGACUCCUACGGGAGGCAGCAGUAGGGAAUCUUCCGCAAUGGACGAAAGUCUGACGAAGCAACGCCGCGUGAGCGAAGAAGGUCUUCGGAUCGUAAAGCUCUGUUGUCAGGGAAGAACAAGUACCGUUCGAACAGGGCGGUACCUUGACGGUACCUGACCAGAAAGCCACGGCUAACUACGUG